AUUGAACGCUGGCGGCAGGCCUAACACAUGCAAGUCGAACGAGUGGCGGACGGGUGAGUAAUGUCUGGGAAACUGCCCGAUGGCGGGGGAUAACUACUGGAAACGGUAGCCAAUACCGCAUACCAUCGGAUGUGCCCAGAUGGGAUUAGCUAGUAGGAGGGGUAACGGCUCCCCUAGGCGACGAUCCCUAGCUGGUCUGAGAGGAUGACCAGCCACACUUGGUCUGAGCCGCGGUCCAGGCUCCUACUGGAGGCAGCAGUGGGGAAUAUUGCACAAUUGGCGCAAGCCUGAUGCAGCCAUGCCGCCUGACUGAUGGAGGCCUUCGGGUUUUAAAGUUCUUUCGGUAGCGAGGCGUUAACUACAGAAGAAGCACCAGCUAACUCCGUGCCAGCAGCCGCUGUAAUUC
rnacentral:rRNA from 1 species